rnacentral:lncRNA from 12 species
CUCAGUUGUAAUGAAAUGCAGGUGACCAGAAUUCAGCUUUACCUCCCGGAAUAACUGCAGGGUAAGCGUGCAUCUGCCCAGCCAGGAAGGGAGAAUGUCAGCUUCAGAAAGAGGCUAAGCAGGAAUGGAAGUCUGGAGGUUUCGGGGCAGACAGGAAGAAUUAUGGGUGGGGAAUGCUCAGCCUGCACAAAGAUGGGCAGCAUUGCUAGAUCCAAAACAUUUUCAUUUCUCCACUGCACUGAUGCUGUUCUUCACCCUGGAGAUAGGGAAAUGCAGUUGCACCAAUGGCCAGGUGCACAGGGUGCCCUGUGGCCACCACAGGAUGGCUGGGGACAGUUCUGGGGUUGGGGACAGUUCCGAGGUUGGGGACAGUUCUGGGGUUGGGGACAGUUCUGGGGUUGGGGACAAUCCUGGAAUUAAGAACAAUCCCAGGAUCAGGGACAACCCUAGUCCUGAAAUCCCAGAUCUGGGGACAAUUCCAGGCUUGGGGACAAUCCUGGGACAGAGAACGUUCCAUCCUGGGGACAAUCCUGGAAUUAAGGGACAUUCUGGGAUCAGGGACACUCCCAGCCCUGCCAUCCCAUUCCUGGGACAAUCCUGGGAUUGAGAACGUUCCAUCCUGGGGACAAUCCCAGUCCUGCCAUCCCAGAGCUGGGGACAAAUCCUGCUCCUGGGGACAAUCCCAGUGCUGCCAUCCCAGAGCUGGGGACAAUUCCAGGUCUGAGGACAAUCCUGGGAUUGAGAAUGUUCCAGCCUGGGGACAAUCCCAGGAUUUGGGACAUUCCUGGGAUCAGGGACAAUCCCAGGAUUAAGAAUAAUCCCAGGAUCAGGGACAAUCCCAAAACCAAGGACAUUCCCAGUCCUGGGGACAUUCCACAGAGAAUUCCAGGAAUUCCCUCACUCUGAAAUUCUCCUUCCCACCCCUCCCCAUCCAUUCCCUGAUAUUUGGAAUUUUGGGAAUUUGGGGAAAAAAAUCCAUCCCAGGUUAAAAAAAAAAAAAAAAUCAGGAAUUUUACCUGGGGGUCCACGGGGAGAGCUGGAAUUUCUCAAUCCCAGCAGGAUAAAAAAAAAAAAAAUAAAAAAAACCCCCAAAAAACAGGAAAAAUCAAUUUCUCAAACCAAAUGGGGAAAUGGGCAGGAAAAAUUGGGAAUUCUCAGUCCCAGAGGGAUAAAAGGCUGGGAAAAUUGGAAUUCCUCAAUUCCAGCAGCAUAAAAAAAAACAGGUAAAAUUUGAAUUCUCAAUCCCCUGGGCAGGGAAAAUUGGAUUUUUAAAAGGAAAAAAAAAAAAA